rnacentral:rRNA from 1 species
AACGUAGGAGACAAACGUUAUCCGGAGUUACUGGGCGUAAAGGGCGUGUAGGUGGUUGAGUAAGUCUGGCGUGAAAUUUUUCGGCUUAACCGGGAAAGGUCGUCGGAUACUGCUGAACUGGAGGACGGUAGAGGCGUGUGGAACUCCAGGUGUAGUGGUGAAAUGCGUAGAGAUCCGGAGGAACACCAGUGGCGAAGGCGACACGCUGGGCCGUACCUGACACUGAUGCGCGACAGCAUGGGGAGCAAACGGG